rnacentral:ribozyme from 1 species
AAAGAAAGAAAAGCGAAAACAAAAAAAGAGAGAAAAAGCCAAAAACAGAAAUUCGAGAGAAUGAGAGUUUUUUUUCUGUAUGUAACUUUGCACUUUUUAUAUUGUGUGUUUCUCUUUGUUUUACUCU